rnacentral:rRNA from 1 species
CCCUUAGAUGUUCUGGGCCGCACGCGCGCUACACUGAUGCAUUCAACGAGUCUAAAACCUGCUCUGAUAGGGGUGGGUAAUCUUUUGAAUGUGCAUCGUGAUUGGGAUAGAUGAUUGCAAUUUUUCAUCUUCAACGAGGAAUGCCUAGUAAACGCAAGUCAUCAGCUUGCAUUGAUUACGUCCCUGCCCUUUGUACACACCGCCCGUCGCUCCUACCGAUUGAAUGAUCCGAUGAAUAUCAUGGAUUGAGGAUGCAAGCAGGUUCGCCUGUCUUCAUCUUCGAGAAGUGAAGUAAAUCUUAUCACUUAGAGGAAGGAGAAGUCGUAACA